rnacentral:rRNA from 1 species
GACGAACGCUGGCGGCGUGCUUAACACAUGCAAGUCGUACGGUAAGGCCCUUUCGGGGGUACACGAGUGGCGAACGGGUGAGUAACACGUGAGUAACCUGCCCACAACUUUGGGAUAACGCUAGGAAACUGGUGCUAAUACUGGAUAUGUGCUCCUGCUGCAUGGUGGGGGUUGGAAAGCUCCGGCGGUUGUGGAUGGACUCGCGGCCUAUCAGCUUGUUGGUGGGGUAGUGGCCUACCAAGGCGGCGACGGGUAGCCGGCCUGAGAGGGUGACCGGCCACAUUGGGACUGAGAGACGGCCCAGACUCCUACGGGAGGCAGCAGUGGGGAAUAUUGCACAAUGGGCGCGAGCCUGAUGCAGCACCGCCGCGUGCGGGAUGACGGCCUUCGGGUUGUAAACCGCUUUCAGCAGGGACGAAGCUUUUUGUGACGGUACCUGCAGAAGAAGCACCGGCUAACUACGUG